AUAUAGAGUCGGACCUGCCCAGUGAAUAUUUUUAACGGCCGCGGUACUCUGACCGUGCAAAGGUAGCAUAAUCAUUUGCCCUAUAAUUGAGGGCUAGUAUGAAUGGUUUGACGUGAGCAAAGCUGUCUCUUAUAGAAUAGUUAGAAUUUAACUUAUAGGUGAAGAUGCCUAUAUAAUAUUGAUAGACAAGAAGACCCUAUCGAGCUUUAAAAAAAUAUUUAGGACAAGAUUACCCUAUUUUAUGGAUAUUUAACUAAAUAAAAUUUUGGUUGGGGCGACUGAGGAACAAAUAAAGCUUCCUUUAAUUUAUCUAUACUUUUCUGGUAAUGAUCCAGUUCUAUACUGAUCAAAGAAAUUAGUUACCGUAGGGAUAACAGCAUAAUCUUUUUUGAGAGCUCAUAUCGAAAAAAAGGUUUGUGACCUCGAUGUUGGACUAGAGUUUCCUGAAGAUGUAGAAGUCUUCAAGGGUUGGUCUGUUCGACCAUUAAAACUCUA
rnacentral:rRNA from 1 species